rnacentral:rRNA from 1 species
AACGAACGCUGGCGGCAUGCCUAACACAUGCAAGUCGAACGAGACCUUCGGGUCUAGUGGCGCACGGGUGCGUCACGCGUGGGAACCUGCCCUUAGGUUCGGAAUACCUCCUCGUAAGGGGUGCUAAUAUCGGAUAAUUUCUUCGGACCACAGAUUUAGCGUACUUGGGUGGGCACGCGUUCGUUUAGCGAGUUGGUAUGGUAAAAGCCUACCAAGGCGACGAUCCAUAGCUGGUCAGAGAGGACAAGCAGCCACACUGGGACGGAGGCACGACCGAGACUCCUAGGGGAGGGAGCGGUGGGGAAUAUUAGACAAUGGGCGAGAGUCUGAUCCAGCUACGCCGCGUGAGGGAUGAAGGCCGGAGGAGUAUAGAGCUCGGUUACCCGGGAGGAGAAUGGCAGGACCGGAAAAAUAAGCCCCGGCUAACUCCGUG